GAUGAAGAACGUAGCGAAAUGCGAUAAGUAGUGUGAAUUGCAGAAUUCAGUGAAUCAUCGAAUCUUUGAACGCACAUUGCGCCCCUUGGUAUUCCAUGGGGCAUGCCUGUUCGAGCGUCAUUUGUACCUUCAAGCUUUGCUUGGUGUUGGGUGUUUGUCCCUCGGGACUCGCCUUAAAGUCAUUGGCAGCCAGUGUUUUGGUUUUGAAGCGCAGCACAAGUCGCGAUUCAAGGGUAUCCGCCCGCUUCCACAAGCCUUUUUCACUUUUGACCUCGGAUCAGGUAGGGAUACCCGCUGAACUUAAGCAUAUCAAUAAGCGGAGGA
rnacentral:misc_RNA from 1 species